CCGUAGAGAAUACCAAGGCGAUCGGGUGAACUGUGGUUAAGGAACUCGGCAAAUUGCCCCCGUAACUUCGGGAGAAGGGGGGCCUCCGCUGGUGAUCAGACUUGCUUUGUGAGCUGGUGGGGGUCGCAGAGGCCAGGGGGAAGCGACUGUUUACUAAAAACACAGGUCCGUGCGAAGUCGUAAGACGAUGUAUACGGACUGACGCCUGCCCGGUGCUGGAACGUUAAGGGGACCGGUUAGCGCAUCUUCGGGUGUGCGAGGCUGAGAACUUAAGCGCCAGUAAACGGCGGUGGUAACUAUAACCAUCCUAAGGUAGCGAAAUUCCUUGUCGGGUAAGUUCCGACCUGCACGAAUGGCGUAACGACUUCCCCGCUGUCUCAACCGCAGACCCGGCGAAAUUGCACUACGAGUAAAGAUGCUUGUUACGCGCAGCAGGACGGAAAGACCCCGGGACCUUCACUACAGCUUGACAUUGGCGUUUGGAACGUCUUGUGUAGGAUAGGUGGGAGACUGUGAAGCUGUCACGCUAGUGGCGGUGGAGUCAUUGGUGAAAUACCACUCUGGUCGUUUUGAACGUCUAACUUCGGUCCGUGAUCCGGAUCAGGGACAGUGUCUGGUGGGUAGUUUAACUGGGGCGGUUGCCUCCUAAAGAGUAACGGAGGCGCCCAAAGGUUCCCUCAGCCUGGUUGGUAAUCAGGUGUCGAGUGUAAGUGCACAAGGGAGCUUGACUGUGAGACCGACGGGUCGAGCAGGAGCGAAAGCUGGGACUAGUGAUCCGGCGGUGGCAUGUGGAAGCGCCGUCGCUCAACGGCUAAAAGGUACCCCGGGGAUAACAGGCUGAUCUUCCCCAAGAGUCCAUAUCGACGGGAUGGUUUGGCACCUCGAUGUCGGCUCGUCGCAUCCUGGGGCUGGAGUAGGUCCCAAGGGUUGGGCUGUUCGCCCAUUAAAGCGGUACGCGAGCUGGGUUUAGAACGUCGCGAGACAGUUCGGUCCCUAUCCGCUGCGCGCGCAGGAGACUUGAAAGGAGCUGUCCCUAGUACGAGAGGACCGGGACGGACGAACCUCUGGUGUGCCAGUUGUUCCGCCAGGAGCAUGGCUGGUUGGCUACGUUCGGAAGGGAUAACCGCUGAAAGCAUCUAAGCGGGAAGCUCGCCUUGAGAUGAGGUCUCCCACCACGUGAGUGGGUAAGGCCCCCGGGAGACGACCGGGUUGAUAGGCCGGAGGUGGAAGCACGGUAACGUGUGGAGCUGACCGGUACUAAUAGGCCGAGGACUUGACC
rnacentral:rRNA from 1 species